GCCAAAGAAGAGUUCUGAGGCUGACGCUGAUGAUGGGGUUGUGGCGGAAGACGAUCCCAAGAAAUCUGUUGACGAGUCCAAAAAGCUAUUUCAGAGGCUAUGGAGUGAGGACGACGAGAUUGCUAUUCUGAACGGUAUGAUUGAUUAUUCAGCCAAGAAGGGUGCUGACCCAGCUUUGGAUAUGAAUGCAUUUCAUGAUUUCAUCAAGAAAUCUCUUCAUGUCGACGUAACCAAGGCCCAAUUAGUGGAUAAAAUACGUCGACUGAAGAAGAAAUAUAGGAACAAUGCCGAUAGAGGGAAGAAGGGUGCAGACCCAACAUUUUCAAAACCCCAUGAACAGAAAGGUUUUGAACUGUCAAAG
rnacentral:misc_RNA from 1 species